GAUGGUACCUUUCCCUUUUUUGUCUCCACAAGUUAUCCAUUUUCCAUCUUGACCUUUGAUUUGAUAGAAGUUGUGAUUAAUGCCAUCGUCACGGCAACAGUAAAUUGUUGCUCCCCUUCCGAACUUUCAAGUUAUGAAACAAGAAAUCAUUAAAUGAUUCACCUUGAUCCACCCCAACUCGGAUGCCUCGCAAAAGGACAAGACACAAAGAUAUGCCAAAGGCUCUCCACACUCUGGUCACAGAGAACACAAUCAUUUCCCACAUUCACAUACCUUUCCCUUUUGUCACUUUAAUAAGUUGUGAUUAAUGCCAAAAGUUGUUGGGAAAAAUGAACUAAUGCCCGAGGUCAACUUGGGAGAGGGAGCAGGGAAGUGGUGAAUAGAAGGAUGCAAUGUCGAUGGGUGGGUUUGUUAUGACGUGGAUGCUACAUUAUUUCAAGGAUGUGUGCUGGUUGAGAAAGGCGAAGCCAUGAGGCGCUCUCCUGAAAGAAAAGCCUCGACUUUCCUCGGGUGCUAGUGCAUUCAGACAUCAGCCUAGUAAGGCGGACGGGAUAGACAGGUCAGAGUUUGAGAAAAUUUUCCAAGGUUGCUAAGUUCUUAUCGAUCAUUUGAUGUUUGUCAGGUUUAACCAUAUUGUCAGAGAUGCCAACUCUUUAGCUCAUGUUGUCGCUCGUAAUGCUAGAAGCUACAGUAACCCUUAUGUGUGGACAUUUGUGGCUGGUCUUUCUUUUCUCGGGUGUACUUGCGUUGUUUCUUAAAUAAAGCAUCUUUUGUUUCACAAAAAAAGAAAA